rnacentral:rRNA from 1 species
AAUGAACGCUGGCGGCAGGCCUAAUACAUGCAAGUCGAGCGGAGCGGCGGAAGGGUGAGUAAUGCCUAGGAAUUAGCCUGGUAGUGGGGGACAACGCCCGGAAACGGGCGCUAAUACAGCAUACUAUCAGAUGAGCUUAGGUCGGCUUUGCUCGUUGGUGGGGCAAAGGUCUACCAAGGCGACGAUCAGUAACUGGACUGAGAGGGUGAUCAGUCACACUGGAACAGAGACACGGUCCCGACUCCUACGUGAGGCAGCAGUGGGGAAUAUUGGACAAUGGGCGAAAGCCUGAUCCAGCCAUGCCGCGUGAGUGAAGAAGGUCUUCGGUUUGUAAAGCACUUUUGUUUGAGAAGCGUUACCUACACAGUAAGCACCGGCUAACUUCGUGCCAGCCGCCGCGGUAAUAC